GGAGGAAAAGAAACUAACAAGGAUUCCCCUAGUAACGGCGAGUGAAGCGGGAUGAGCUCAAAUUUAAAAUCUGGCGGCCUCAGGUCGUCCGAGUUGUAGUCUAGAGAAUCGUUUUCCGCGUUGGCCUGUGUACAAGUCCCUUGGAACAGGGCGUCAUAGAGGGUGAGAAUCCCGUCCUUGACACAGACUACCAAUGCUUUGUGAUGCGAUCUCGAAGAGUCGAGUUGUUUGGGAAUGCAGCUCAAAAUGGGUGGUAAAUUCCAUCUAAAGCUAAAUAUUGGCGAGAGACCGAUAGCGAACAAGUACCGUGAGGGAAAGAUGAAAAGCACUUUGGAAAGAGAGUUAAACAGUACGUGAAAUUGUUAAAAGGGAAACGAUUGAAGUCAGUCAUGCUUUCCGAGACUCAGCCGAUUCUGUCGGUGUACUUCUCGGUUGGCAGGCCAGCAUCAGUUUCGAUCUGUGGAAAAGGUUGGAGGGAACGUGGCAUCCUCGGAUGUGUUAUAGCCCUUCUUCGAAUACAUAGAGCGGGACUGAGGAACGCAGCGCGCCUUUUAUUAGGUUGGCCCUCGGGUACAUACGCGCUUAGGAUGCUGGCAUAAUGGCUUUAAACGACCCGUCUUGAAA
rnacentral:rRNA from 1 species